GACGAACGCUGGCGGCGUGCUUAACACAUGCAAGUCGAACGGAAAAGCCCUGCUUUUGUGGGGUUCUCGAGUGGCGAACGGGUGAGUAACACGUGAGUAACCUGCCCUUGACUUUGGGAUAACUUCAGGAAACUGGGGCUAAUACCGGAUAGAAGCUCCUGCUGCAUGGGGGGGGUUGGAAAGUUUCGGCGGUUGGGGAUGGAAUCGCGGCUUAUCAGCUGGUUGGGGGGGUAGUGGCUUACCAAGGCUUUGACGGGUAGCCGGCCUGAGAGGGUGACCGGCCACAUUGGGACUGAGAUACGGCCCAGAAUCCUACGGGAGGCAGUAGUGGGGAAUAUUGCACAAUGGGCGGAAGCCUGAUGCAGCAACGCCGCGUGCGGGAUGACGGCCUUCGGGUUGUAAACCGCUUUCGCCUGUGACGAAGCGUGAGUGACGGUAAUGGGUAAAGAAGCACCGGCUAACUACGUG
rnacentral:rRNA from 1 species